rnacentral:tRNA from 1 species
UGGGAUGUGGCUCAACUGGUAGCGUGCUCGCCUGGCAUGCGUGAGGCACUGGGUUCAAUCCUCAGCACCACAU